rnacentral:tRNA from 390 species
GGGUUGCUAACUCAACGGUAGAGUACUCGGCUUUUAA